CAAUGAAAAAAGCAAAGUAAGCGAAAGUUUGCGGCGCAAAACUAUAGGGUCUUAAUCCAUUUUUUUGGAUAUGACAGCCAGUUGCCACU
rnacentral:ncRNA from 1 species